rnacentral:tRNA from 1 species
GGGGUUGUGGCUCCGUGGUAGAGCACUCGCCUGGCACGUGUGAGGCACUGAGUUUGAUCCUCAGCACCA